ensembl:lncRNA novel transcript
GGCACUUUUCAGAACAUCAAAUUCCUAAUGAAGAAGAGGAGAAGAUAAUGGGGAAAUUUGACAUUUGAUAUAAAUUUAUAUUUGUUAUGUGUAUGUUUGUUAAUGCAACUGGAAUAUUUGACUUAGACCCAUUCCAAUAUGCUGUGAUACACGACACGGUGCACCGCAGAGG